GAACAAUGUUGCACGACGACCGCAAUUCGGAAGAAGCGAUUGUUUCAAAAUGGACGGCUUUUUAACUCAUAAUCCAAUUUUGAAGGUUCAUCAUGUCCGAAAUAAAUAUAAGCGAUUUGGACGAUAUACAACCUGAAACACUCUUCGAUGGGCUGGAUAGUAUAACAGACGAGCAACCAGAGGAUUCGGAUAUUGGAGGUGAUAGCAAUGCAGAUGCUCUUCCAAAUAUUGCUUUUAGCAGAACUAGCAGGCCUAGCAGAUACUCUACUCCUAAUUCUCCUCUAAAAUCUCAACCAAACUAUCUGAAGACAGAAGAAUAGAUGCUGCGCAAAUUCAAACGGAUUUAACUGAGCUUGCGGAUACUAAUUAAGCUACCAACUUAGAUCAUGACUAAGAUUUUGAUUUUAAUUCUGAUGAUUCGGUCAAGGAUACAGACUACGUCGAUCUGUUAGAUAAUGAAAUACUUAUCGGGAUUAGUGAUGGGAAAACAGACACUAAUCCCAAUAAGUUUUUUAGAUAUGAUUUUAGAGAAAAAACUGGAUCAACUUUAAAUAGUACUACUCUGAAAUCUCCUCUAGAAAUUUUUUUGCAAUUGUUGGGGCGUAGACACUCUAGAAAUGAUUGUAGAGCAAUCAAAUUUAUACGCAACACAGUGCUGUAAAAAGCUUGACUUGAAUGUAGAAGAUCUAAAAGUCUUUUUGGGAAUUCUUAUAAUUUUGGGUUUUCACAGCCUGCCUAGCAUGAAACUUUAUUGGUCCACUGACAAAAAUUUUAAAGUUGAUAGAAUUAUAGACUUGAUGACACAAAAAAGAUUUCUUCAAAUAUUAAGAUUUUGUCAUUUGAACGACAACACCCAAAUGCCAAGAAGAGCAGAACCGAAUUACGAUAAAUUGUAUGAAAUAAGACCUUUACUCGAUAUUUUGUGUGACAAUUUUAGAUCCUACAUUCCAAAAGGACAUUGUGCAAUUAAUGAAAGUAUGGUUGCUUUCAGAGGGCGCACAACACUGAAACAAUAUAUGCCAAUGAAACCGAUAAAGCGGGGUUUUAAAGUCUGUGUAAUGGCAUGCUCUACUACUGGGUAUAUGAUUUCCCUUCAAGUCUACCAGGGAAAACAAGAAACACAGACUGAAAAUACUUUAGGUGAACGAGUUGUAAUGGA